AUGCCGAUCCAGCCUCCCCUGGCGCCGGGUCAGUCCUUUCCCUGCGUGGGAGGAGGAUGCGGAAUUCCCCGCGUCGGUGGCAAAUAUUCCUGCAUGGCAGAAAGUGUUUUCAGGACAUCCGGGCUUGGCUCCCCUGCUCGGACGAAGCAGGCUCUCCAGCGGAUCGGGCUGGGAGGGGUUCCUCGAGAGCACACGUCACACAUUCCACACUACCACAAGGACGCACGAGGAGACGGGCAUCCGGGUGACUCGUGCCCACGGCGGGCCCUCGGCCAUCUCCGCAGGAGGGCCGGGCCGCUCUGGCUAGGACGGACCGCACUGUUUCAUGCCGAGCUACAAAGGAGAGAGACCUAUAUGCAUAGAUACGGAUACACACACCUAGGGCGCCCACCCGCCCCGCGUCCGACAGGUGGGCCGCAGAACCACGGACACGGCACCGGCCUGCUUACACUGUACACACAUACACAGAGAAACGGGGACACUCGCGGGCUCCCGGAGCCUCCGGCCGGAGCCGCCCAGCAUAUUCAAGUAUUCGAGAGCACGAGGGAGACAGAGAAACGGGUCCAACCGGGUUCUCGUGGCCGGGAACAUUUGGCACGUCCGCCCGCUCGGCCCGGCCGGCCUCGGGUAGAGAGGCCGGCCUCCCGGCGGAGGACUCCAGCCCUCCACCCCCACUGUGCCUUACAGAGGGAUGCGGAACUUGUAAAGGCCACUGGCAUUCAGGGGGCAAUACCUUUUUUUAGGACUAACAGAUGACCACCAGCUGGCCCGUGGUCUGACCUCCUCCUCCUCUUAAUCCCUUUAUUCCUGAUAGAGAGAGAGGUCCAUUCCCCAUCAUCACAUAACUGAGGCAGCCCACCACCAUCCCUACCCCGAACGCGGGCUCCGUGGAUGGGGACCGUUGGCCACAUAAUGCCAGAGCGGUUUCUGGGAGCUCUGCAGAAAACCGCCUAGCAGAGUCUUAUUUUUUAAUCACAGCCCCAGGGGAUGCUGCUCCGGGGCAGGAAACCACCUAGCAGAGUCUUAUUUUUUAAUCACAGCCCCAGGGGAUGCCGCUCCCGGGCAGGAAAACCCAAACGCCCGGGGUGCUUACUUUCCGAUGCCUCUGGGCGGACAUUCAUGCAAUGAUUGGAGGGUGCCUGGCUCUUGAGAAGUCAGGAUAGACUGGGACAUUAGGACACCUUUAUUGUCCCUGAGCCGAUUUGGUGGCAGUAAGAUUUCUCAGCCGGGCUCUGCGGGCAGUGAAAUGGGGGCGGGUCCAUCGAGCAGCCAUUUCUCCUAAUGGUCACCUCAGUGAGUGAAUUAACAGCUGUGGGGGCGGGCGCG
rnacentral:lncRNA from 1 species